CUCUAUAUAUAUAUUUCUGCAUAGUACCAUGACGUUUUCUGAUGAAUCAAAAUUUGGUUUAUAGGUUAUGAAAGAAGUGUGAAAUCAUAAUAAAAUAUUUCUGGUUCUUUGUGUGUGAGAAAUCAGUGUAAUUAUGUAAUAAAUGCAAAUAAAUAAUAAAUUUUGAAAGUCUUUACAUUGUUAGGCAGCUUCUCAGGUUUAGCCAAUUAGUCAUCUUACAUAUUAGAUACUACUAAGAGUAAUAUAUGUAGAUCUUAAUAUUGAAAAAUCAAAUGGUAUUCCAUGACGAACAGUUAUAGGAUAUCAAACAAAAAAAGGUCAAAAUGCAUGUUUGGGUGUUCCAUUCGCACAUACAAGUGACAAAGGAAAGCACUUUAAAAAACAAAGAUUGGGAGAGGUGGGGGGGGUAAGGUUAAGUGAAAAUGAAAAUGUAAGUGAAAGUCUAAAUGGCUGGUUAUCACAUAUAUUGAAAGUGCUUUCUCUGGGUACUAUGUAUGUUUGAAUGGAACAGUCAUAAUCAUAUUUAAAAGUAUUAUAGAUGUAUUUUGAU
rnacentral:lncRNA from 1 species